ACAGGAGUACUGAAAAAACGGCAGUCAUCCUCCUCACAUCUCCCCCGUUCCCCAUUUCUCCCAUCGCCAGCUCCCUCCCUCCACAGCCGGCGGUCCCAGGUUAGGCCACCCCUUCCCUUUGUUACCAUAGCCAGCGCGAGCUUUGCAGCCACUAAUCUUCCUCCCCUUCAUGUCGAAUCUGGCUGCGGAAGUGGCCGAGGAGGCCCUCGAGCUCGGCAUGCUUGCGCCAGCUCUAGGCUCCGUCGGAGGCGUACGCGAAGGCGCGGGACUUGCACGCCUCUCCUCUGCCCUACUCCUUCGAAUCCAGUCGCAGAACUGCUCGAGGAGGCGCUCGAGCUUGGCGUGCUCACCAGCGACGUCGGGCCCCUCCCUCCUCCUGAUGCCCUCACCGUCGCCGCCAUGAGCCUCUCCACCCUCUCCCGCGCGAUUGUCCGGGUCCAGUUGGCCGGAUUAUGUUCCGAUGAUAUGAUCGCAGUGAAUAAUAUGGGUUGCCUAUGUGCUCAUGAAACUAAAAAGUCUUCAAAAGGCAGUCUUCCAAUGAAAUUUGAAAUAUAAAAAACAUGGUAUCAGAAAAGAACGAAUAGGGGAAGAGUCAACAUGGAUGUUGUCCCGGUUUUAUCCCAUCCUGGAGGUAUAAUUUUUUUAUCCGAUUAAUGAUAGCAGCAAAUGUUUGACAUUAUUCAUACUGUUAUGAAAUAAUUUUUUUUGCAUACAACAAUUUUAAAUGUCUUACAGAUUCCAAGAUAAUUUAUCUCCACCAUUCUUUCAUUGUUCCCAAGUUACCUUUCUUAUGCAUUAUUCUCCAUUAGUUCUGAUUUACCUGUGAUCUCACCUCAUUUUGUCAACUACCCGUUUGCCGUAUGUGUGGAGCCCUCAUGGUUGGUCUGUUGGUUUGAGUUAUUUUGUCCCCAAUCUUCGGUCCCAUCAUCCAUUUGCUCGUCCUUCUAAUUUCUUGAUUCGAUUACUGUGUUUAUCUUGGCUACCAUUUCAGCACAAACAUUUACCUGGUGGUGGUCAAAUUGAACAAUGUUAGCAAUCACUCUCUAGCUGACUGAAACUUAACCUCCCUAAAGCAUGAACCAAACCUGCUCUUAGCUGCAAGCUUUGUUGGUCGAGCAAGUGCAAAAAAAACCAUCAACAAAUAAUCUCAUGCUUAAUCCAAUGUUACAUUAAUAAUCUAGCGAGAUCCAAGUAUGGAAGGAAGCAAUUCAAUAUUAUCACAUAUUUCCUUACACUGCACGCCACAGAAGCACAAUCCUAUUUCUUUAUAUUCAUCUUUCCUUUAAUACUUGAAACUGAAACUGAAAUUCCAUGAAUGCUUUGUUCAAGAACAACUAUGAUUGAUCCUUGAGAAAUGUGCAGGUACAUAUGCCAGAACUACACUUACUAUUUCCUAUUACCAUAUCCUUCAUUAAGGAAAAAUUCCCUAAAUAAGCUUGACCUAGCCAAAUGACUAACAAACAUGUAGCCAUGGCCAAUACUGCAUGAAUUAGUCAGGAACUUCAGCACAAACUCAUCUAUUUCAGACUUCUCCUCUGUUCUUCUCUGGACUCUAUAAAUUAAAAUAUCACACAUGCAUAUGCAAAGGCAGUGGAAGCAAAGAGAACUUACAUUGGAAGGAGGCACAACGAAUCCGCAGAACGCUCCAGAAGCAACUGGAAGGCGACGGAGCGGACAACAGCAGCUUGGACCAAUAGAUGACAACGAAAAAAGCAGAGGCCUACAGGAGGCAAAAUGCGGCAAUCAGCGAGCGGGUAAAUCCAAAACAUAGCAAAUAAUGGUGAUGGAGACACCUCAGCCAAACGGUUCCAUGGCAGGUCAACCCGAAGUGCAGCAGCAACAAAGAACCAGCGGAGUUGCAGCAGAAAAGAGAGGCAAAAAUGAAAGCAAGAAGAAACCCAAAUCAGUGAAAAGGAAACGGGAUACUAAAAGCUUAGCCUGUUCAAAGCUUUCUGGGUGUGUACAACAUGCAUAUAUUUAGUAAAGUGUAUAUGCACAUAAGCAUGACUACCAACAACAUAUGGGGAUUUGACAAAUGGGGGAUACUACAGCCAUUUUUAAAAUUUGCAUAUCUUCAUGCAUAUACUUGAUAUCCCGACGACACUAUAUUCACACUACUUGAGAAAGUAAAUAGUCAAACGACAUUAAUAGAGAAGUUGUAGAGUUCUACCGUUUCCGCUUUGCAAUCCCAAUAAAACAAUAUAGUUCUUCUGCAAGUAAUUAUAUGACAUGAUGGUCUACAGCUACAAGAAGGUUGGGUGUGUUAGAGUUAUAAUAUAAGUCAUGUACCCCUUUGUAUUUAUCCCGUUGUAUAAGGGGUUUCCUGCAUAUGUUCCACACCUGUACAUGUAUAUAUAUCGGCCUAUGGCCUCAUGGGAAUACAAGUUGCAUAUUUUCCUAACAGGGUGAAGUCUACAGCCACAAGAACGCCAUCAGCAGGUUCGCGGCGAAGCUCACGCAGGUCGCCGUGUUGAGGAGUGAGUUCCCCUCUUGCUGCUCUGCUCUGCUCUCACAAUCAACUGAAUCCCUUUAGCUAGCAGUAAAACUACAGUUGCAAGAGCUUUUUUUAAUUGCAUGAUGCACAGUUGAUGGUCAACUAAGGCAAACCCAUAGUAUAAUCGUUAAGAUCAAGUUGGUAAUUUUAGUCGGACCUGUUGUCAAUACUGAGGUCAAUGCAAGGCCUACUCACAUGGUUAAUAUGCUAAUUCUUGUCACCAGAAAACCAAGAAAGGUGUACCAUGAGCAAGGAUCGAUAUUAUAAAUGUAUACAGUAUUAUGUAUAAAUGGCCAAUGGCUCCAGCAACUAUAGCAAUUAAACCGUGAGCACCAGGGAAAGAGGAUAAUGAUUUUAAUUCAGCCGUUAUGUAAAAAAGAAAUCAAAUAGUUAUUGAACCUAGCCUUGUUAUGGUAUCUAUUCAAACUAAACAAAGUAAAAAAUAUGGAUAGCAAAUUUACUGAAAGUUGAACGCACACAACUGCUUGAACAGCUCUAGCAGCCUCUGAUAUGCCAAUCAGGAUACCUUGCAAAAUAUUCUCAGAAUGCAUUGAUCAAUAUCUAUGCAAACCAAACAAAGGAGGCUGCUACACUAUGGAUCAAAAAAUAUUCACCGUCUAAAUCGUUCAGGCCAAAGCCAUUGCCAAGACUCCUCAGAUUUAUUCCUUAAAUGUUCCAUGUGUUCAGAAAAUAAAAUAUAAUACGAUGAACUCUAGUUUCAUAAACUGUUAUUGGAACAUAUGUACCAUUUUGUAACUGAGUAUACACACCAGUGCUAACCACAUAUAGUUGUUCUUAGUCCAAGCAAAAAUGUACCCAUGUUAACAAUUUUGUACAUGGGUAGUGUGGAUAUUUAACCUCAAUAGGAUAACAUCACAUUUUAUCUGCUAACCAAAGUACAACGGGGCAGAGCUUGAAUCUAACUAUUAUAAAAAAAACACAAAC
rnacentral:rRNA from 1 species